UACCAGCACCCCGAGUGGUCGGGACGUUUAUUGGGCCUAAAGCAUCCGUAGCCGGUUCUGCAAGUCUUCCGUUAAAUCCAGCUGCUCAACAGAUGGGCCGCGGAGGAUACUACAGAGCUAGGAGGCAGGAGAGGCAAGCGGUACUCAGUGGGUAGGGGUAAAAUCCGUUGAUCCAUUGAAGACCACCAGUGGCGAAGGCGGCUUGCCAGAAUGCGCUCGACGGUGAGGGAUGAAAGCUGGGGGAGCAAACCGG
rnacentral:rRNA from 1 species